rnacentral:rRNA from 1 species
UACGUAGGUGGCAAGCGUUGUCCGGAAUUAUUGGGCGUAAAGCGCGCGCAGGCGGUCCUUUAAGUCUGAUGUGAAAACUCGAGGCUCAACCUCGAGACGCCGAUGGAAACCAUCUAACUAGAGUCCGGAAGAGGAGAGUGGAAUUCCUGGUGUAGCGGUGAAAUGCGUAGAUAUCGGGAGGAACACCUGUGGCGAAAGCGGCGCACUGGACCAUAACUGACGCUGAGGCGCGAAAGCUAGGGGAGCAAACAGG